UCUGUAAAAUCUGUCACUGCCUAAGUGAUACCCUGCUGCUUGAGUCCUCAUUCGUCUCCAUGGCAAUGUUCUGAAACUAUUCUGCUUGUGUGAGUAAGUUCAAGGCCCAUCAAAUUAUUUAUCAUAGCGUAGCCGGCACAUCCCACCCAUGCACAGACAUACACAUUGUGUAUGUCACAGCAGCAUUCACAAGUGCAGCCAUGGUUUGAUUUGCAUUCAUUUCAAAGCAGCAGCACGUCCUAUGAAAUGGAUAGCCCACUCAUCAGCUGACUUCAUUUACUCACCCAUUCAUUCAUUCACUUAGGCACCCAGGCUUAGUGGAGACAGAGAUCUAAAGACUGACCUCUCAUUGCCGGUUGGGGGUGGGAACAGAGAUAACUUCAUCAGAGCCCGUGGAGGGAUGGCGGACCUCCUACUUGAGGAGUGGUCAGCUGACCACCAAAGGGGAAGAGAUUUCCUAGCAAAAACGAAGCCCGGGCAAAGGCAUGGGGAUGUGGACUGAUAUCUGAGAUGGCGCAGGGAAAAUGUGAGCCAAAUGACAAGCCAACCCCACCGAGGUGAAACAAAGGUGGCAGAGUUAACGCGUGACUCCCGCUCAGGAUCGGUUAUUUUCAGUCAACAAGUGAGUACCCGCUAGAUGAUGUGAAUCAAAGGGAGGACUCGCCUACAGUGACAUUGCCGGCAAAGCUGGAGAGAGAUUUUCAAGUAGGGAGAUCUACCACUCAUCCCUCAAAUCACGGCGCAGGGGCUACGGCUAAAACUCUCAGCAAAGAGAAUGCGGCUGAAAUUUCGCCUUCAUUCCAAAAACCCAGUUCACGACGUAAAGGGAUCUUCCUCUUGGGCAGGAUUCUGCUCUCACUGCACUCGGUGGUGGGACACUCGAUGUCACAGAGCUCUGCGGUCAGUGAGUUUAAGUCCUGGCUCCACCGAUUACUCUCCGUAUAACCUCCGUAUAACACUAGUGAACCUGAGACGCGAUUCCGUCUCUCAUUAAGAACAGGGGCUCAGAACACCUGCCUCUCCGGUGUUGUGAGCCUCGAUUUAAAUGAAGUGGUCGGAAUAAACACUGGUUCCUUCUGCCCCCACCGCCCCCACCAUGUCAUUGCAGAUUUGAAUCUCCAUCAGUCAUUCUCACUGUCACCAUCAUUUAUCUCGGUGUCUUUCAACACCCAAUUCACUUGGAGAAGCCUAAUUUUCUCCGUGUUCAUGGGCUAUUAGCUGCUCUGACAACUUUAGUUGAUGAAAAGCCUCCAUUUGGGCGGCGGAGGCUCAGAGCCCGCAAGCCCGGCGGUGAGGGCUGUGCGCCGGAGCGUCCGGCAGGGGGCAGCAUCGGGCAGCGUAAGGCCGCGUCGGGGCUCCGGAGACAGACUGGGCGUCUGGCAGGGCCGCAGAGGCGGCGUUUGGAUUCCGACUCCGGCUGACAAAGGAUUCCUUUUACUCCACAUCUUCAGAUGGAAAGACAUUCUGAAGGUUGUUCAGGCCUAUGACCCAGGUGGAUGUCGGAAUCUCCCGCACAGUGUCCCGCUCCUGCCUGAAGACACCCACUCCAAGGAGGACAUUCUAUUUGCUUCGCCCUGGCCAGCUGAGAAUUACCAGACAGUGCUUUGGGGUUUAGAGCUGAGAUCUCUCUCCGGUACCAUCCACACACUGAAUCUGCCCCUGGGAACACAGAGAACCUAAGCAGUGUCGCCUGCUCCUGAAGUGUCCUGCUCCAGACUACGCAUUCUUGAUUCUUUCCGACCUACUGUCAUGUGGCAAUUUGUCACCACUCACCUCAGAGUGGGGCCUAGUUUGUCUGCUUAGUCUCAAAGCGAGACUCCUGCAUAUUUCACGGGUCUCAGUGUGCUGGGGACUCACUUGGACCUUACAAAUGAAACGCUGAAGCGCCUUUCCCAUGUGCUGUCCCUAAGCCACACCCUCCCCCACCCCUCGUCCAGUGGGCUUUGGGGUGCUCAGAACCUGUCCUCUCUGUGUAGGCGAUGCCCAACAAGUGCUCUGGGGCAGUUGGGUGACCCCAUCCCCCCUCCACCUGGGCCGCUCCUCAGUUCCCCUGGCACCACUGACCCCCCAGGGCUCAGCCACGUCCUCCUGCUGGCCCCAGCUCCGGCUGUCCACUCUGAGACUGCCAAGGGGUCACCCUGACCCAGUCGCCCUGCACCAGGCAUGCUGGCUCUUAAUUCUCAGCUUCCUUGCAAACCCCCAGGGGUUACCUGGGGAGUUCUGGACGCACCCUCAUGCAGGCCACGUAGAAGCAAGGGCCACUGUCCCAGGCCCUCCUUAUGCUGAAGAACAGCUUGCCAGCAUUUCUACCGUGCCAUCCACAGGUGGCAUCCUGUAUAGACAUCUGCAAGGGAUGCUCUUCCCAGUGACCCGAAUGUGAAGUGGCCCCUCUACUUUCCACUUCCUGUCACUGGAUCUGAGCUGUUACUACCAUCUUGCCCACCCAGCCCCGGGUCUGAGGGUGGUGGGUGGGACACUCAGCCUCUUACCCUGCUUCCUCGUCCCGUCCUGUCCCAAGCUUCUCCCAGCACCGGAUGGGUUCUUCUUCUGUCCUACAGGGCAGGUGCUUCCUCUGCUCUCUGCGCGAUGGCCUAACACACCGCUCUCUGUUCCCAUCCCCACGCUUUGCUCCCGACACAGAAAAGGGAUCUGCUUGGAAAGCAGAAAGCCUUCUCCCUCUCCACAACCAGGCUCUCGAGCCUGAUUAUUAGCUUGCGGCAGACUUUCACAAGCUAGUUCAAAACAUGGAGCUGCGCGAGACUUCUCUGUCUCGGGGUGUGUGGGCCUCCCCUGAAGCCAUGAACCCACUGAAUCAGGGAGCAGGAGCACCUCGAUUGUUGAGUGAAAACCACUCUAAUAUCUCAAAAAUAAGAUCGCAUUUCUUUCUCAUGGCCCAAGACAAAUAUCUGAAAGAGAACUUAUCGUUUCUGCCUCCCAUCCCCAGACAUUCUUGUCUCCUCGCCACCAGGUCCUUGCAUCCCACCUUGGCAUAAAGGUCAUACCACAAAUGGA